UGUACAUGUGUCGAAUGAUUGUGAAGAAGUCAAAGAUAAAUUUGUAAUUCGUAUGACUAAAUGUAAGAAAAUAGAACUCUGGUUUUUCUUCUGGAUUCUCGAAGGAGUAUGGAGUACUGAUCCUUCUCUUUACAAAAAAGGGGAAAAUGAAGUGAUAGAGAGCUUGGAGAGAUUGUGAACUUUUAGCAUGAAGAAUUGUGUAAAGAUGUGAAACUUCUCCUUUUCCCUAUACUCUUCUCUCUAGAAUGAUUUAUGAUUCAUUUUUCUUAAACCAAAAUUGUGGAUAAUCCUUUCCAUAGAUUGGUGAGACUAGGGGUUAGAGAAUAUUCAAAGGAUGAUUGUUGAACGGUGGAUUUGGUUCGCAAGUAACGAACAAUAGGUAAUUUGCAAGGAAUAUCAAUUUCAUGCAUGAAUGACUUGGUUUGAGAAUUUUGAAAUUAGGGUUCUUCAUGAAGUUAAGGUUUUUCAAUAUCAACCAUGUCGUUCAAUGAAAACGUGGAUUGGGUACUUUGAUUUCUUGGUUAAUUAGUGUUUAACAUGUUUUUGGUAAGAAAUUGCUUGAUUUGAUUAAUUCAACUUUGUGAAUCAUAGAAUCCAUGUUUUAGUUUUAAUAAUAUCUUUACAUUCAGCCGUUGGAAUAUUAUAAAAUUUUAGUAUGUUGUGGUUCACUAAGUCAUAGAGAUGCCAUAAAAAUUUCAUGAAGACCAGGUUCCAUUAACUACUGUAAAGAUGAUAUAAUCCCCGACUGUACUCUACAGAUUCUGAAUAUUGAACAACCGACUGAUCUUAAUGCUUAUCAAAAUCCGUAUCUCGGAUAAAGCUGAAAUUUUGAUAUGUUAUUUACUAGUGUAUAUGUAGCUUACUGUAAAAUUCUCAUGAAUUUCUGACCACGUUAGGUACCCCAAAGUGUUGGGGAACCGUAACUGAAUGUUGUGUGCUGAUACUGAAAGCAGCCACGUUACAGUGCGUAUAUCUUUUUUAAUAAUCGUUGGAUUGUGCUGAUUUUUGAUUAUGUUGCAGUAACCUGAGCUAUAAUUCCACUAUAAAAAUUACAACAUGAUCCGGUAACAUUAGCUACUGAAAAUGUUGAAUAAAUUGGGACUGGUUUCUGUAAAACGAAAAUCCUCCGCAGCCCCUCCUUCCUUCAUUAUCUCUUCAGGUGAUCAUCAGAUUGAGAUGAAACUUAAUUUCAUAGUUUGUUUUAUGUGUUUAUAUUAGUAUUCAGUGGCAUUAUUCGGGCGAUGAUACCUUAGCUACUCAACUGGUUCGUUUAAUUAGAGGGGAGUCGGAGCUUGCUUAGCGGGCUGAAAUCCGGUUUGUUGGAAGUCCAGAUUCUCCGAUCCGUCACACAAACCUUAUCUCCACCAUCAGCAAUAAUAUGGGAGUACAAGUCUUUCACUUAAAUGAUAAGUACCUUGGUUCCCCUCUUUUCACCCAUAAAAGUAAGAUUACAUCCUUUAAACCCCUGGGUUGAUAAACUCGAACUCAGACUAGUUAGUUGGAAGAAUGAACCUCUCAACCUUGCUGGUAGAAAUGCUCUCAUCAGCUGCCUCACUUCCACUACCAGCAUUUACUAGAUGAAUUGUUUCAAACUCCCAAAACAAUCAUGUCAAGAUCUCAAUAAGGUUCAACGAGAUUCUGGGGAAAAAGUUUAUACAACCCCAAAUGCUACUACCUAAAAUCAUGGACUGUUGUUUGUAAACUCAAGGACACGGGAGGCUUAAGCUUCAUGAACAUGGAACACUUCAAUAGUUCUAUGGUCACUAAAAUUGGUUGGAGAUUGGAGAAAGACAAAGACUCCCUUUGAUACCAGCUCAUGGAUGUUAAAUACCUCCUUGAAAGAAAUGUCCUCAACAUGGAUACUAAACCCAAAGAUGGAGAUUUUUGGAUAUGAAAAGUCAUUCCGGAAGGCAUCAACAACAUCCACGAUCAUAGCUCUUGGAAAAUUGGAAAUGCCAAGAAAAACAUAAUUUGGGAGGAUAUUUGGAUUCCUACAAUAUAUUCUGAAGUUCCUAAGCCUGCUAAUUGCCCAAUUGAUCUCAUCAUGAUUGAGCAUCUUUUUCUACCUAAUGGGGAUUGGAAUGCUCCUCUGAGCAAUAUUUGGUUUAACGCUUAAAAUGCGGGGGUCUAACAACUACACCCAACAAUUCGUUUGGCAAUCUGAGAGGACUUACUCCAAUA